ACAGGGAGGUAGUGACAAGAAAUAACAAUACAGGGCCUAACGGUCUUGUAAUUGGAAUGAGUGAAGUAUAAACCCCUUUACGAGUAUCAAUUGGAGGGCAAGUCUGGUGCCAGCAGCCGCGGUAAUUCCAGCUCCAAUAGCGUAUAUUAAAGUUGUUGCAGUUAAAAAGCUCGUAGUUGGAUUUCUGUUGUAUAAUUUUAUAAUAUUACCAAGGUAAUUAUUAUAUUAUCAACAUCCUUCCUAUUAUAUUCUAAAUAUAUAGGAAAUUUUACUUUGAGAAAAUUAGAGUGCUUAAAGCAGGCAACUGCCUUGAAUACUCCAGCAUGGAAUAAUAAGUAAGGACUUUUGUCUUUCUUAUUGGUUCUAGGACAAAAGUAAUGGUUAAUAGGGACAGUUGGGGGCAUUCGUAUUUAACAGCCAGAGGUGAAAUUCUUAGAUUUGUUAAAGACGAACUACUGCGAAAGCAUUUGCCAAGGAUGUUUUCAUUAAUCAAGAACGAAAGUUAGGGGAUCGAAGACGAUCAGAUACCGUCGUAGUCUUAACCAUAAACUAUGCCGACUAGAGAUUGGAGGUUGUUCCUUACUCCUU
rnacentral:rRNA from 1 species